CAUCCAGGGGUCAGCUCAGAGCAAGCUCUCCAUAAAUGGUCACCAUGAGAACAAUUAUUCUUGGAGCUUCUCUGGGGCCCACACCCUCAAUCCCCGUGUGGAUGGUGGGUGUGUAAAAGGCCUCUGCCGGCCGAAAGGAGGCUGCCGCCUGUCCCCCCUCUCUGCCACCCUGGGCCCGAACCAGUCCCCACCCAGCAGCUUAGAGGUGCUUUAAUGGGCAAAAUGGAGGCAACUUCUUGCCCGGGAAACCCCGCCCCGGCAAGUUUGCAGCUGCCCUUUGCUCUACGCAGCCGUUUCGGCAGGGGCAGUUCCCCGGAUGACCGACAGAUGGCGCUAAACCUUCACUAUAGCCUUCCUGUUUUCCUGAGACUCUUCAGGGCCCUGACUGAUACAGGAGGAGUGCCUGCCAUGAGCUGUACCUGCCUAGGAUCCAGAGGAGAUCGGAAGGAGUGAGGACACCUAUAGGAUGCUGGUUCAACCUACGAUGGUCUCCAUGGAGGUGAACAUGAACUUAGCGUUAACAAGGCGUAUGUAGCUGACCUUCUCUCCCAGCUAGAAUUUUCCCAAGAUUUUAAGUCACAAUUCCAGACUUCUCUACAAACAAAGCUGUCACUGACACCCCCAGGAAAUGGUGCCAACCACAUUCCCAUUUAAUGAGCAGCUACUACAUUCCAGACACUGUCCUAGGUGUUUGUAAUGGGUUUUAGUAGCCUUUUGUAAUGUGUCCUGGCCAUGGUGGUGAGUACAGGACUAAGGUGUAGCCAAUCAUAGUACCUCAUUCCCUUCUUCCAAAGCGAUUGGCCUGCAGAGUGAGCAUGUGACUAAGCAGGACCAAUCAAAGGCUUUCCCUGGGACUGAUACACUGUUACUAGGUGAAGGAAGCUCUCUCUCUCUGCUGAGGGUGGUUCUGUCCAUGCCAUUUGGAAGAGGCUCAUCUGUGGGAGGAGAGACCGAGGGUUCCGUUUUAAGAGAAGAAGAGACAAGCAGAGAACAGAGGGAACGAGGGACACGAUACAUUCCCUUUUGUCUGUCUGGAGUUGGGUUUCUGUCACUUGCAACCAAAAGAAUCCUGACCGGGGCACCUGGGUGGCUCAGUUGGUUAAGCAUCCAACUCGGCUCAGGUCCUGAUCUCACGAUUCAUGAAUUCCAGCCCCACAGUGGGCUCUCUAUUGUCAGCACAGAGAUCUUCUUCACAUCAUCUGCCUCCCCCGCCUCCCUACCGCUCUCCCUCUCCCUCUCUCUCUCUCUCUCUCUCUCAAAAAUAAAUAAACUUAAAAAAAAAAGAAUCCUGACUGAUACAGCCCUUUAUAUACCUUGUCUCUCUCAACAACCCUAUGAAAAUGAUAUUAACAACCCUCAUUUUGUAGAUGAAAUUGAGGCUCAGAGAGGUGAGAAGACUUGCCCAAAGCCACACAGACAGUAGGAGGCAGUUUUGAUGACUCCCAACCUGUUCUGUUUCCACUGUGCUACUCUGCCCGUCCUGACGAAUCAGCUUUCCAAGUUGGAGCUGACCUUAUAUUUUCUAUUGUGAGUGCAAGCAUAAGUAUCUUCUACUAAGAAAUCCAUCAUUUCAGGGUUAGAAGCAACUUCAGAAGUCAGCUGGGGCUCUCUGGAAAGAGCAGCGGACUGGGAGUGAGAAGGCUUCCAGGGCAAGUUCUGUUUCUUACUAGUUGGAAAAGUCACUUAACUUCUGUGAAUCUGAAUUUCCUCAUCUGUGAGAAGGAGACUAUAUUCAGGAUGCUAGUCAAGAUACACGGGUGUUAUGACAAUUAAGAGACAAAGAAUAUGAAACUGUUUUAGAAAUGUGAAGUCCUAUACAAAGUAAGAUACCAAUGCUGUGGUUUACCCCUGUGAGACUGAGUCCUAUCUCAUUCUGUGCUUCAAUAUCCCCCUACACAGAGUGCUCACUGCCUCUUAAGGCAGCUCUUUCUGUCUUUGUUUCCAUUCUUAUUGUUAUAAAAAAAAUU